rnacentral:lncRNA from 1 species
AUGAAUCACUUAGAUGAAAACAGAGAAUCAAAUGAUCAUGAGCAUCAUAAUGCUGGAUCAACAUUGUACGUUUCAAAUUUAAGUUCAAGAAUAACUACUUGGGAACUUCAAGAUUUAUUUGAACAAUAUGGAACUAUAGAAAAAUGCCAUGUUAUCUGUAAUCCAAUUACAAAAGAAUCAAGACAAUUCGGAUUUGUCACUUUUCAUUCUCCUGAUGAAGCACAAAAUGCAAUGAAUAAAACACAUAACAUGGAUCUAGAAGGGAGACUUAUUAACGUACAAAUAGCCAGACGAGAUGAACCAUAUGAACCAACCCCAGGCCAAUAUAAAGGAACUAACAGUAAAUAUAGACGAAACUACGAAAUGAGGCGUAACUAUUAUGCAAGAAAUAAUUACAGAUAUUAUGAUAGAAGGCGAGUUGAAGCAAGAAGAUACCCAUAUUACAGAUACCCAAUAAAAAGUUACGGUUACAGAAAUAACACGUAUAGAAAUUAUGAUAAUAAUGGAAGAAAUACAUAUAACGAUAAUAGACGUUAUGAAAGAAAAUCAAUAGAUUAUAGAUAUCAUAAAAGAGAUGAUUAUUAUAAAAAACCUACAAUGAGCAGUGAUGAUGAAAAAUAUUAUUCAGGAGAUGAUAGUGGUAAAAGAAGAAGAAAAUAUGACAAAUAUAGAAGAUCAUUUAGUCACUCUUUAAGUAACCCAAGACAGCACAAAGGUUCUUCACCAUAAAGGAUGAUGACUUAAUAUUUAUAAAUACACUUUUCUAUACCUUUUUUCUUUCUCCUUUUACAAUUUAGCAAUUAAUAUCACGAAACAAAACAAAACAAAUUAUAUACUUAUGAAUGCUAAACAAAAUCAGAAUAUUUCUUAGUAGAUGGAUUCAUAUUUUUGUAUGUUAUAAUAAUAUAGCAAUUUUUUUUUUAUUUUUUUUUAUUUCAAAAGUUAAAAAUUAACAUUUAAGUGACUGUAUGUAUAUAUAUAUUAUACCAUUAAAUUGUAAAAUUUUCAAAUUAAACACAUACAUUUACCAAAAAAAAAAAAAAAAAAAAAAAAAAAUCGUACACAUUACACUUUUUUAAUACGAAUUACUGUAUCAAAACUAAGAAAAUUUUAAAAACAAUUAAAAAAAAAAUGUAUAACAUACGAAAAUCAGUGUUUUCAAAAAGUUAAAUGAAAAAUGGAUUUACCUUUGUUCGGUUACAUAUACCCAUCAUCAUAUCUCCACCUUUUUAAUAAUUUAUUGUAACUAACAAAAAAAAAAAAAAUAAAAUAAAAAAUAAAAUUGAUUUUUAAAUAAAU